rnacentral:rRNA from 1 species
CCUACGGGAGGCAGCAGUGAGGAAUAUUGGUCAAUGGGCGGGAGCCUGAACCAGCCAAGCCGCGUGAGGGAAGAAGGUACAGCGUAUCGUAAACCUCUUUUGUCAGGGAACAAAGUCGGGGACUAGUCCCCGGAUGAGUGUACCUGAAGAAAAAGCAUCGGCUAACUCCGUGCCAGCAGCCGCGGUAAUACGGAGGAUGCGAGCGUUAUCCGGAUUUAUUGGGUUUAAAGGGUGCGCAGGGGGCCGGUUAAGUCAGCGGGAAAAGCCCGGGGCUCAACCCCGGCGAGCCGUUGAAACUGGCGGGCUGGAGUUGGAGAGAAGUACGCGGAAUGCGCGGUGUAGCGGUGAAAUGCUUAGAUAUCGCGCAGAACCCCGAUUGCGAAGGCAGCGUACCGGCUCCACACUGACGCUGAGGCACGAAAGCGUGGGUAUCGAACAGGAUUAGAUACCCCAGUAGUC